CGUUGCAAGAGCUGGGGCUUGACGCCCGUGCUUUCCGCUGGUUCCCCGGGGGUCCCCCGCGCUGGGAGAAUGAGCCGUCGAUCGAAGCCUUCCUCUAGGAGCUCCAGGAGGCCAGACCCCGACGCCUGGAAACGAAUAGCACCUGGAACCGAGUAGGCCUCAAGUUUCAUCUGUAAAAUGGGCCGAUCACCCCCACAAGGCUGAUGUGAGACUGUUGGGCACCCUGGACUCCUCAACUUACCUGCUCCGAAUCUCUGGAAACACCCUGUGGGCUCUGCCUCGUCUCCAAAACAUAGCCCAGGUCCGCCCCUUCUCACCAGCUCGGCUGUCACCACCCUAGGCCAGAGCAUCCUCAUCUCCCUCUUGGAAGACUGGACGCGCUCCUCUCUCUCUGCUCUCCUUCUCAUGGAGCUCUAGGCUCUGUUCCACACACAACAGCACACAGAGGAAUCUUUUAAAAAUACAAAUUAGAUCAAGGGCCCUUCUUUCCUCAAUGCUUGCAAAGGACUUUCUGCUGAACUUGGAAUAAAUUCUGAACCUCCUAUUCAGGCUUGCAAAGCCUCUGAUGCUUUGCUCCCGUGCCCCCUUGCUCAUUGCAGUUCAGCCACAUGGGUCUUUCUGGGUCUUUCCAGCCCCAGGAUCUUUGCACUUGCUGAUCCUUCUGCUUGGGACUCUCUGUCCCUGUCUUAUCUAGAUUUGAGCCCCAGCUCCACUCCUGCAGUAUGGUCUAGACACGAGGACCUAUAGCCUGUGGACCACGUCUGGCUUGUGAGCUAAGAAUUCCCAUUUUUAGUUGGUUGGAAAAAAAAAGACGACGCAUAGCUCAUGCCGUGAAAACUGUAUGAAGUUUACAUUUCAGUGUCCAUCAAUAAAGUUUUAUUUGAAAACAGC